rnacentral:rRNA from 1 species
UGGUUAAGUCCGCAACGAGCGCAACCCUUGUCUUUAGUUGCCAUCAUUAAGUUGGGCACUCUAAAGAGACUGCCGGUGUCAAACCGGAGGAAGGUGGGGAUGACGUCAAGUCCUCAUGGCCUUUAUGACCAGGGCUACACACGUACUACAAUGGCAGGUACAAAGGGCAGCCACUUAGCGAUAAGGCGCGAAUCCCAUAAAACCUGUCUCAGUCCGGAUUGGAGUCUGCAACUCGACUCCAUGAAGUUGGAAUCGCUAGUAAUCGCAGAUCAGCACGCUGCGGUGAAUACGUUCCCGGGCCUU